AUUGAACGCUGGCGGCAGGCCUAACACAUGCAAGUCGAGCGGAUGAAGGGAGCUUGCUCCUGGCUUCAGCGGCGGACGGGUGGGUAAUGACUAGGAAUCUGCCUUGUAGUGGGGGAUAACGUCCGGAAACGGGCGCUAAUACCGCAUACGUCCUGAGGGAGAAAGUGGGGGAUCUUCGGACAUCACGCUAUCAGAUGAGCCUAGGUCGGAUUAGCUAGUUGGUGGGGUAAAGGCCUACCAAGGCGACGAUCCGUAACUGGUCUGAGAGGAUGAUCAGUCACACUGGAACUGAGACACGGUCCAGACUCCUACGGGAGGCAGCAGUGGGGAAUAUUGGACAAUGGGCGAAAGCCUGAUCCAGCCAUGCCGCGUGUGUGAAGAAGGUCUUCGGAUUGUAAAGCACUUUAAGUUGGGAGGAAGGGCAGUAAGUUAAUACCUUGCUGUUUUGACGGUACCAACAGAAUAAGCACCGGCUAACUUCGUG
rnacentral:rRNA from 1 species